rnacentral:rRNA from 1 species
GACGAACGCUGGCGGCGUGCUUAACACAUGCAAGUCGAGCGGAGCCCAUCCCGUGGCAACACGGGUGAAGGCUUAGCGGCGAACGGGUGAGUAACACGUGAGGAACCUGCCCCGAAGACCGGGAUAACCCUCCGAAAGGAGAGCUAAUACCGGAUACCCUCCCUUGGUCGCAUGGCCGAGAGAGGAAAUGGAUUCCGCUUCGGGAGGGCCUCGCGGCCUAUCAGCUUGUUGGUGAGGUAACGGCUCACCAAGGCGUCGACGGGUAGCUGGUCUGAGAGGACGAUCAGCCACACUGGGACUGAGACACGGCCCAGACUCCUACGGGUGGCAG